rnacentral:rRNA from 1 species
CUACCGUGGCAGUGACGGGUAACGGGGAAUUAGGGUUCGAUUCCGGAGAGGGAGCCUGAGAAACGGCUACCACAUCUAAGGAAGGCAGCAGGCGCGCAAAUUACCCAAUGACAACACUGUUGAGGUAGUGACAUGAAAUAACAAUACAGAGCAUUUAAUGCUUUGUAAUUGGAAUGAUGGGAAUCCAAACCCCUUUCAGAGUAACAAUUGGAGGGCAAGUCUGGUGCCAGCAGCCGCGGUAAUUCCAGCUCCAAUAGCGUAUAUUAAAGUUGUUGCAGUUAAAACGCUCGUAGUUGGAUUUCUGCUGGGGGUCGGUUUGGUCCGCCUCCUUGGAGGUGUGCGCCUGUCGAACUUCAGCAUCCUUCUGGUAGCGCGCUCCCCACUUCACUGUGCGGGUUGCGCGUGUUUCCAGGACUUUUACUUUGAGAAAAUUAGAGUGUUUCAAGCAGGCUUUUCGCCUUGAAUACUGCAGCAUGGAAUAAUAAGAUAGGACUUUGGUUCUAUUUUGUUGGUUUCUAGGACUAAAGUAAUGAUUAAUAGGGACAGUUGGGGGCAUUCGUAUUUAACUGUCAGAGGUGAAAUUCUUAGAUUUG